AGGUAGCGAAAUUCCUUGUCGGGUAAGUUCCGACCUGCACGAAUGGCGUAACGAUCUCCACACUGUCUCGGCCAGAGACUCGGUGAAAUUGCAGUCGCGGUGAAAAUUCCGUGUACCCGCAGAAAGACGGAAAGACCCUGUGCACCUUUACUAUAGCUUGACAUUGGAUUUUGGGCCUGCAUGUGUAGGAUAGGUGGGAGGCUGUGAACCCUGUACGCCAGUAUGGGGGGAGCCAUCCUUGAAAUACCACCCUUGCAUGUUUAAGAUCCUAACUUCUUCCGGUUAUCCCGGAGAAAGACAGUGUCUGGCGGGUAGUUUGACUGGGGCGGUCGCCUCCUAAAGUGUAACGGAGGCAUGCAAAGGUUCCCUCAGCCUGAUCGGAAACCAGGCGCUGAGUGCAAACGCAUAAGGGAGCUUGACUGUAAGAGAGACAUCUCGAACAGGAACGAAAGUUGGCGUUAGUGAUCCGGUGGUCCCGUAUGGAAGGGCCAUCGCUCAUUGGAUAAAAGGUACGCCGGGGAUAACAGGCUGAUCGCAUCCAAGAGUUCACAUCGACGAUGCGGUUUGGCACCUCGAUGUCGGCUCAUCACAUCCUGGGGCUGAAGCAGGUCCCAAGGGUACGGCUGUUCGCCGUUUAAAGUGGUACGCGAGCUGGGUUUAAAACGUCGUGAGACAGUUUGGUCCCUAUCUUCUGUGGGCGAAGGAGAAUUGAGAGGGCCUGUCCCUAGUACGAGAGGACCGGGAUGGACGUACCCCUGGUGAUCCUGUUGUCGCGCCAGCGGCAUAGCAGGGUAGCUAUGUGCGGAAGGGAUAACCGCUGAAAGCAUCUAAGCGGGAAGCCUGCCUCAAGAUAAGUUCUCCCCUCGAAAGAGCUGAAGGGCCCGGGUAGACUACCCGGUCGAUAGGCUGGAGGUGUAAGCGCGGCGACGUGCUCAGCUGACCAGUACUAAUAGCCCGAGCGGCUUAUUUUU
rnacentral:rRNA from 1 species